CAUUCAAGGUGCAUCAGACU
rnacentral:piRNA from 1 species